GAUAAACGCUGGCGGCGUGCAUGAGACAUGCAAGUCGAACGAGUACCGGGCUUGCUCGGUGCUAGUGGCGGACGGCUGAGUAACGCGUAGGUGACCUACCCCGAAGUGGGGAAUAACUGCCCGAAAGGGUGGCUAAUACCGCAUGUGGUCGCAUCUUCAUUGGUGCGAGUAAAGCCGCAAGGCGCUUCGGGAGGGGCCUGCGUCCGAUUAGCUCGUUGGUGGGGUAAUGGCCUACCAAGGCGACGAUCGGUAAGUGGUCUGAGAGGACGAUCACCCAGACUGGGACUGAGACACGGCCCAGACUCCUACGGGAGGCAGCAGUCGGGAAUUUUGCUCAAUGGGGGAAACCCUGAAGCAGCAACGCCGCGUGAGGGAUGAAGGCCUUCGGGUUGUAAACCUCUUUUGUCAGGGACGAUGAUGACGGUACCUGGCGAAUAAGCCACGGCUAACUACGUGCCAGCCGCCGCGGUAAAAC
rnacentral:rRNA from 1 species